GGCCUUGUGGUGUACUGGUAACAUACUUGCUUUUCCUAAGCUUGCGAGUUCGGAUUCCGCAGGAGACCCUUGUUCGACUCAAGGCCAGGCUA